UACGUAGGGUGCAAGCGUUGUCCGGAAUUAUUGGGCGUAAAGAGCGUGUAGGCGGCCCGAUCAGUCCGCUGUGAAAGUCCAGGGCUCAACCCUGGGAUGCCGGUGGAUACUGUCGGGCUAGAGUCCGGAAGGGGCGAGUGGAAUUCCUGGUGUAGCGGUGAAAUGCGCAGAUAUCAGGAGGAACACCAAUGGCGAAGGCAGCUCGCUGGGACGUGACUGACGCUGAGACGCGAAAGCGUGGGGAGCAAACAGG
rnacentral:rRNA from 1 species